GAUUCCUCUUUUAGAAUGAAAGACAAACAACAAUUGUUGCUAUCCAAGUCACCUGCCCUGCCUCUGUGGUUGGACUAACACCCCUGAAUGGGAGUUUUUGUCUCAUGGUCAAUUACCAAUAACCUUGAACCUGAGGAAAAGCUGGUUUAGAUACGAACUUGAAGACAUGGAGAAAUCUUAAACAAUGCUGCCCACUACAGUUUAAGUAGAAAAACUGAAGAGAGAAGAUAAGCCAGCAUGACUGAAGUAUCACAGCAUUCUGAGAGAUGGGAGGCAGGAUAUGCCAAGAAGGACAAACCACCAUCACUACCUUCAUUUACUUCCCCUUAAGACUCUGAUGAAGACAGCCUGAGGGGAAAAAAAGGCAAAGACAAAGAGACUUGGGGGUUCCAUUAGCUCCUAGAUCACCUGUCCUGCUUCCAGUCUUUCCACCCUACCCCAUGGCCAUCAUUGAAGGGAGCAACUCAUGAAGAAGAGCCUGGCAUCCUCACCAACCACCCAAAAUCAACUUCCAUCACCAAGAAGGCACUGUGGUCCCCACCUCCUCAGUAGCCAACAGUUACUUAAUAUAUGGG